CCUGAAGUCGCUGUGCUAACCGUAAGGAGGCAGGUGCCUAGGGCAAACUUCGUGAUUGGGACUAAGUCGUAACAAGGUAGCCGUAGGGGAACCUGCGGCUGGAUCACCUCCUUUCUAAGGA
rnacentral:rRNA from 1 species